rnacentral:tRNA from 2 species
CGGUGUGUAGCGCAGCUUGGUAGCGCACUUCGCUGGGGGUGAAGGGGUCGUAGGUUCAAAUCCUAUCACACCGACCA